rnacentral:sRNA from 1 species
CUUCUGGAAUUUGCUGUGGACUGAUGAAGUGAAUGUGAGAAUCGAUCGCACCGGCUGUUAAGAUCAGGCCUUCGCCAGCCACCACUUCGGUUGUUACGCCUACAAUCAUAUGGGGGGAGGUUCCGGGCAUGAUAUGUGGAUUUCCUCCUUUUCCUAUACCACAAAUAUAUCCAUUCUUGAUGCCUAUGUCAGCUUUGUAAAUACCUGUAUAAUCAAUUACCAGUGCAUUGGUGAUGAUCAGAUCCAGUGCAUCGGCCUGGGCAACACCGGCAGCCUGCCCCAUGCCAUCGCGCAAA